UACUAAGCUUGGUCAUAUUAUUCCUGAUUCCUGAGCUUAGAAAAUCCAGUGUAUGAAUUCGGUGUAUUCUUGUAUUGGAUAUAUGCCAAUCAUGCUUUUGAAUGCACUUGAGUUGGUCUGAGAGUGUCCUUACCAAGUUCUACAACCAGGAUUAACUUAAGUCACCCAAGAGACCGGAGUCUGGUCGAGUGGGUAAAGUAUGAAACACACCGAGAAUCUCACUGCUGAUAGACUGCAGAAAAGUACUUAUCACAGUGGGAGGCCGUUCCUUCUCUUGCUUGAACAAAAGCGGUACCUGCUGUGGGCCGACCCGGUAGAGACGAACCUAGCAAGGCUCGUCAGUGGCCAAAAACUUGACUUUGAUCCAAUCAGAGAGCACAAACCCCACUUGGGGUAGCCAAAAAAAUAAAAUGAGAAAAGAGGGCAUUUUCUCCGUAAAUCCAUGGUGAACCAGUCACACUUCAUAUGCAAUGUAGGCUAUGGGAUGGUAGUUAGCUAAGUGCACAGACCCAAUGCGCACAACACUAAAUACUUCUUCCAAGCUAGCUAACCACUUAAGCACUCCUUAGCUAGCUAGCCAUAUCCAUGUGAAGUAGGGGUGCUGAGGGUGCUACAGCACCCCCUGACAAAUCAUUAUAAAUGAAAGAAAAACAUAUUUUUUCAAAAAAGUGGUCCACUGGGCCUUUAUUAGCCCCCCCCCCCAAAUGUCUCAGCACCCUUCUUCACAUGGCCAUGUAGCUAGCAAAUAUGCUAACACUAGUUGAUCUUAAGAAUGCAUCAUAAAAGAAAAAGCAUUUGACCCAUCCAGUCCCCUCUGUCAUCAUCACUUUCUCAAACACUCUAAAAAAAAUAUUUGUCACAUUUUGCCUGGAAUCUCUGACUUCUCUACUUUGGACAAAGCAGGAUGUGGAAUAAUACAGGCAGGCAACGAGGCCUGUACGCCAAAACCACACUUGCUGUGUUUUUAUUUUGUUUUAAGACCAAACCAAAGCAGAGAGGAAAGGUGUAUUUUAAUAUAUUUAGUGCCACUGCAGAAAUCUAGUGCUUUGUAUUUUGGUGAGGGCAACCUAACACUCCUCAGACUACAAAGAGGCCGGAGUGUUUAUGUAACGCGCCCCUCCACCAACCAUCAUGACUUGGACAAUAAAAAAAUCCCUCCCUGCUGCCCCUAACCUCCUCUGGCUCUCCUGCCGUAGCAGCCGGUGACGUGGUAGAGCUGGGCCUGACAUUUGCUGCUGCUCUCUUUCGCUCUGUCUCACAGCAGAGUGUGGAUGUGUGCUUUUUGGAGAAGGCAUGUGCAGGGCAGCUCACAUCUGGUCUUCUGUCAAAAGGCCAGACCACAGACAGAGAGCACCCAAAAAUUGCAGUGUUCAAUAUUCCACAUUAGUUCAGGCCCAGACAGCAAAACUAAGCAGAUUUCGCUCUCCAGAUAGCGUUUAAAUGUCAGAAAUUGUCCUGCUGGUCAAUUGAAUUUGACGUAUUACUAGAUAUAGUCAUAUGAAAAGUCAGAGACGGCAGAACAACCAAGUAUUAAAAGUAUACGUCGGUAUUUUGGAUAAUUUCCUAUUUACGGAGAGAAAGACUAACUCAUGGAUACCAUUGUUAUGUGUAUGCGUGCAAGUUGAAGGUAGCAUAUCGUUAUUUUAGCGCAAUUGCUGGAAGUCUAUGGAUAUCUACUAGCUAUCUUCUCUUAAAAGCAGGGAAAUUAGCACUUUGUACUCUAAGUAUAUAUGAAAUUGUAAAAUUUAAAUUAUAGUUAUUUAUUUUUGGAACUAUUUUCUCCUAACUACGCAUUUUAUUAAUCCGCUGUGACGGUGGGCAAGGAUGGGCUGUGUGUGAGCUGGCCAGCUGAGACGUCGGGACAGCGGCAGUUUUGAACAAGUUUGCUAGCUAGAUAUCAAGUAGGCAACGUGUGAGAAGAGAACAUCAAUUGUAAAACCCACAGAAGAACAAGAGUACAUCAACAGUCCAAAACUAUAGUAGCAGCCAUGACUGUGAAUAUUCUUGACACUGCUGGAAGUAUUUUCACGCUAUUGGCUAGUUUACGUUACCUUGACAGCUAGCUAGCACAUGUAGUAGAGUGUGGUGAGACUUGGGUUACAUCAACGGACUAGUCCAAUAUUGAAAAUGGUUUGUUGGUAUGCUGUAAAAGUUUGCAAUAACAAACCAAGGAAGUGGUCGGCUAUAAUCUUUCACAAACUUCCAUUGAAUAAUCCGGACUAAUUUAAACUAUGGCUAGUUGCCGUGAAUAUAGACAACGCUGACCAAGGACCUCAGAAAGGUUGUAGCUAUUUUUUUAGAGGAUGAACUGACGAGCCAUAAGAUGAGACGUUUCCUGACGCAUACAGUGGUCAUUCUACGCACGCCAGAACAAAGUAGAAUGGGGUAAGUGUGAUGAUGAUCUAACAGUAUGUGAUUGAUUGAGUAGGAGCUAGCUGUUCUCAUGAUAAAAUGUGAUAGGCCUGUCAAUUGUCUUGUGGAUAAACUGUCCAUGUCAUCCAUUACAUUUAAUGGAAUGCCCUCCUCUCAAAGCCAAAGUAUAGCUGAGUACAACAAAACAACUUAAAAUUCACAAAACUAUGUGAUGUCCUUUCAUUAUAAAAAAUUGUGUGGUGCCAUUAUUUUAAUCAUUAUUCAAAUUGAUUUAAACACUUUCCACCUAAUUAUACAAUUUCCACAUGCUUUAGAAACAAAUAAAUUGGCUUGACUUUAUGGUGUUAGCUAUGUAAUAGGUGACAGCAUGCCACAAUAACAAAACAGCUAUUAUGGCUUUCUUCAAAUGUGUUCUCGUUUGCUUAUGAAUACCAACAUUUCCUGUACCCUUUUCCUUUAUUUUUAACUAACGUUGAGAUAGAUGACGUGACUGCUGUGGACUGUCCACAAGGAACGGACUCCAUGUCUGCUGAAGUAACAUCGCAUUCAAAACCAGAAUAGAGGACAAGCCUCAACAGUUGUUGGCACUCCAAGAUCCAACGUUGUCUACCCAAAACAAUCAAAACAGUGGAUUGCACGGCUGAUAUAUCAACCCACCGCUCAAAGAUUCAGGGAUGACCUGAUGGAGAUCACCCUGCAGAGACGAAUGGACAAAUACUUGGAGCCCAAACAAAUCCUGUGGAAGAGGCUGUCGUUUGGCUGCCAACAUAACCCCAUGCAAAAACCCAGCAAGGAGGAGGUCAUUACUGGUAUCUCCAUUAGCCAUUCUUCCUUGGGUCCACAUAAACACGACAAGUAACAAAACACUCUGAUAGACAAUUGCAGCACACACAUCAAGAUUCAAGUACACUUGGGGCUAUUCUGACACCCCCAACUGACAUGGUCCUCCUUGCACUACUACCUAAUACAAACACACUUAUUGUAACAUCAUUUGUUAGCCUCUGGUCAUUAUCUGUCUGCAUCUUUAGCAUGAAAAGAAAAUCCAUUCACUUUAGACUACUGCUAUACCUACUUUGUACUGUCUAUUUUAUUGUAUAUUUACUUUUUAUUGCUGUGAAUUGUGUGAAUGUCUUGUCUAUACUGUGUAUUGUACAUUAUGUGCAGUGAUCUGUAUUGUGUUGUAUAAAAUAAAUAAUUGCCGGUU